rnacentral:pre_miRNA from 1 species
AGGGUGAGGCCGGAUCCUGGGCUCUGUCCCUGCCGCCCUGUACUCCGCGGCCAGCACUGCUGGAUUCACGCUCCCGGCGCACAGCCCCCU